rnacentral:rRNA from 1 species
AGAACGAACGCUGGCGGCAGGCUUAACACAUGCAAGUCGAACGGUUGUAGCAAUACAGCAGUGGCAGACGGGUGAGUAACACGUGGGAACCUUCCUAGGGGUACGGAACAACUCAGGGAAACUUGAGCUAAUACCGUAUACGUCCGUGAGGAGAAAGAUUUAUCGCCCUAGACGGGCCCGCGUAGGAUUAGGUAGUUGGUGAGGUAACGGCUCACCAAGCCUACGAUCCUUAGCUGAUCUGAGAGGAUGAUCAGCCACACUGGGACUGAGACACGGCCCAGACUCCGUACGGGAGGCAGCAGUGGGGAAUCGUUGGACAAGUGGGCGCAAGCCUGAUCCAGCCAUCGCCGCGUGAGGUGAAGAGGCCGUUCGGGUUAGUUAAAGCUUCUUUACCGACGGGAAGUACUAAGU